AGUGAACGCUGGCGGCGUGCCUAAUACAUGCAAGUCGAACGCGAAAGUCCUUCGGGAUGAGUAAAGUGGCGCACGGGUGAGUAAUGCAUAAGAACAUGCCCUUAGAUGGGGAAUAACGUUUGGAAACGAACGCUAAUACCGCAUAAUCUCGAGAGAGUAAAGGUGGCGCCGCAAGGGCUACCGUCUAAGGAUUGGCUUAUGUCCCAUUAGCUAGUUGGCGGGGUAAUGGCCCACCAAGGCAACGAUGGGUAUGUGGUCUGAGAGGAUGAUCACACACACUGGAACUGAGACACGGUCCAGACUCCUACGGGAGGCAGCAGUAGGGAAUAUUGAGCAAUGGGGGAAACCCUGAUGCAGCAACGCCGCGUGAGUGAAGAAGGCCCUUGGGUUGUAAAGCUCUUUAGCGAGGGAAGAGGGUAGAUACGGUGAAUAAUCGUGUUUGCUGACGGUACCUCGAGAAUAAGCACCGGCUAAUUUCGUGCCAGCAGCCGCCGUAA
rnacentral:rRNA from 1 species